UACGUAGGGCGCAAGCGUUAUCCGGAAUUAUUGGGCGUAAAGAGCUCGUAGGCGGUUUGUCGCGUCUGCCGUGAAAGUCCGGGGCUCAACUCCGGAUCUGCGGUGGGUACGGGCAGACUAGAGUGAUGUAGGGGAGACUGGAAUUCCUGGUGUAGCGGUGAAAUGCGCAGAUAUCAGGAGGAACACCGGUGGCGAAGGCGGGUCUCUGGGCCAAAACUGACGCUGAGGAGCGAAAGCGUGGGGAGCGAACAGG
rnacentral:rRNA from 1 species